GAACUCACUUCAGCACAUAUAAUAAAAUUGGAAUGAUACAGAAUAUUAGCAGGGGCCUCUGUGCAAGUAUGACAUGUAAAUUUGUGAAAUGUAAAUUUUAUGA
ensembl:snRNA U6 U6 spliceosomal RNA